ensembl:lncRNA
UCCCUGUAUUGUAUAACAGCUGUGUGAGACCUCUUUAAUGACCCAUGUGAUGCAUGCUCCAGUAUGCCUGUAGCAAAUUAUUAGUCUUGUCCUUCAAAGCCCAGUGUAGCUCUGACUUUACUGUUUUUUUGUUUUGUUUUUGUUUUUAUUUUUGUUUCAUCUGUAAUUUUAGUUGUUUGUCUUGGCUUCUUCAGUGCUUAUGAUCCAGAUUUCAUUAGUUGUCAUGUAAAAGAUUCCUUCAACGUGUUUACUUUUUGAUUUAUGCCCAAACUUCUGAGUUGUCUUAUCUCCAAAUAUUUAAACUAUCUUUAAUGUUUACCACUGUCACAAGUCAGACAGUUUUAACAACCAGUAUUAUGUGCCUCUCCCUUCUUAUUUUAUAACGGCCUUACUACACAUGUUACUAUAGUUUGUUGUUUCUCACUGGGUAUGUUUUGCUCUCUGGAGCUCUGGCCCCUUAAUCUAUGUCUAGGGAUCUAUAAGUUAUAGUACAAAAUAAUUACUGACAACUAGGGUUGGUGUUAGAGAACACAGAAAACAAAACAGAUUCAGCAAAAGCUGAACUGCAAAGCUAAACACAUAACUGUUUAUGAAUGCCAGAUUUAGUAUAUCCCCUAUGUCUUUAAUUAGACUCAUACUCCUGUACAGUUAUUACCUGUAUGAUCAUUUUCAAUUUUUGUAUUUAGUUCUACAUGCUCAUCUACUUUUUUUUUUUUUUUUUUCUUCAGUGAACUCUAUAACAUUCUGCUGUGGUUGUUUCAGAAUUUUCCUGCUAAAGAAUGUUCUUUCCUUAACUUCUGUGUUCUGUUGCAGAUUUGGAAGGAGGUUUGGAAUUACACCAAAGAUUGGGUUGCCCUGGGUCACAGUGUGUAGAGGGCUGGAGUGGGUCAGCAUCUAUUUUGGAUAAUGGCACCUGAUUUGAACAAUGAGAACUUUCUUAAGAUGGAAUAUAUUAACCUCUGAAAGUGUCUCUUCAGACUGACUGGGAAGCCAUGAGCCAGCAGUGUGCCCUUAUGGACAAGAAGGCCAGUGGUAUCCUGGGAUGCAAUAAGAAGCAUGGACAGGAGGUCAAGUGAGGUUAUGCUUCCUCUCUUCUCUGCACUGGUGAGGCCACAUCUGGAGUACUACAUCCAGUUUUGGGCUUCCCAGUUCAAGAAAAGGACUUUCAGGUAGAGUCCAGCAGAGGGUCACAAAGAUGAAGAGGGGUGUGGAGCACCUCCAGUAUUUGAAAAGGUUGAGAGAUCUGGGACUGUUUAGCCUGGAAAAGAGAAGACAUAGGGAGGAUUUCAUCAACACAUAUAAAUAUUUAAAGCGUGGGUGUCAAACAGCUCAUUUCAGUGGUGCUCAACAGUGAGCAGAAACUAGAACAUAAAAGACUGGAACAUAAAAUCUGAACAUGAGAAAGAACUUCUUUACUUUGGGGUUGACAGUGCACUGGAAUAAGACACUCAGAGACAUUCUGGAGUCUCCUUUUCUGGAGAUAUUCAAGACCCACUGGUCAUUUUCCUGUUCAGUCUAUUGUAUUCAAACUGCUUUAGCAGUGGGUUUGGACUGGUUGAUCUCCAGAGGUCCCUACCAACCCCUACCAUUCUGUGAUUCUUCCCCCACAAACAAGAUUGUUUGGAACCAAUGCCAGAGAUGUUCCAUAA